rnacentral:rRNA from 1 species
UACGUAGAGGGCAAGCGUUAUCCGGAUUUACUGGGUGUAAAGGGAGCGUAGACGGUGUGGCAAGUCUGAUGUGAAAGGCAUGGGCUCAACCUGUGGACUGCAUUGGAAACUGUCAUACUUGAGUGCCGGAGGGGUAAGCGGAAUUCCUAGUGUAGCGGUGAAAUGCGUAGAUAUUAGGAGGAACACCAGUGGCGAAGGCGGCUUACUGGACGGUAACUGACGUUGAGGCUCGAAAGCGUGGGGAGCAAACAGG